UGCGUUUUAUUAGUAGGUUAUGACACUUUAGGUUUCUGUAAACAUGCACGUAAUGUCCAUAGACCGUAAAAACCCUUACGAAAAUUAACCAUGGUUUUAUUGUGAUAAAAAGUGUAGUAACUAUGUUUUUUUGUGUAUGUAUUGAUUACUAUGAGCAAAACCAUUGUUUAACUACACCAACCAUGAUUUAAUAAUGGGUUUUGAAAACCAUGGUUGUCAUAACCAUGGUUUUACUACAGUAACCACGUUUUUUCUUUCAACUGUAGUAAAAGACAUGACUGCUUUUAAUGUGAAAUGUUUCAUUUGUAUUGGAAAACAAAAUAUGCAGUUCAGUGUUGCAGCAUAACAUUAUUUGUAUUGCAUAUCCAAACAUACCUGACACUUUACAAUGCUUUAAUCUAAAAGUCUUUAUUUUAAAAUCUGUGCUUUUCCUGUUUUACAGGUCAUCAUGCACAAAAAGGUAGUUUUCUCCCAGAAAGGGCUAAAGUUGCAUUCCGUAAGGGACCACUGGGUUAUCUUCUUCAGGAACCAACUGACCAGGCCAGGGUUAUCAAAAACAACCCGUCUCUGAAGGACAAAUCAGCACCAAUAAAGGAGGAGCUUGUUAGACAAAAUGCUUUGACUGUGGUACUUCAAGGAGGAGGUGAUGCAUCAGACAAAAAAUAAGUAUUUGGUGAAUACAUUCUGCAGUUUGGCAAACGCAACACAGAAUUAUAAGCUGCAGCAAUACCUACUGAGACAGCAGCAACAGUUAGGUGACUGUUCAUCUGUGGUUACCCACAGAAAUGGAUGAAGACACAGAGUUUGAGUGUUCAAUGCUGAGCAUCACCCCCUCUAAACUACAGGUACCAUCAUCAUCAUCCUCAACAACUGAAGUGAGAUGCUCUAUGGAAAAAGGAAAAGGUUUUUACACAUUUAGGUUCAACGCUGGAGUAGAAACUGAUGAACUGAGAUGAAAUGCUCUCUGAAACUGAAUAUAAAUCUUUUUAUUGUUUCAGGGUUUCGUUUUGGCCAUGUUUCAUUAACAAUAGUGUGUGUGCCGUUGGCAUUAUACUAACAGUUCAGGAGGCUGUAGAUUGAUUUCAUCCCUAUCAUGAAUUGAUACAAACCCUGUUCAGGAACCUCCUGCUUUCCUAUCAAAGCCUUGUGAUGACACUAUAAACUCACCAGUCUAUGAGCUGAUGUUUCUUGAGUAAGAACCAUCACCUUUCACACAAUCAAAGAAAAGUGUUUCAGCUACAGGAGAGCACAGCGUUGUAGACAACUUUCUUGCACGCAGGACACUUACUUUUGAGGACUGUGGCAAAAACGUUUUUAGAAACUCUCUCAUCUUCAGGAACCACAUCACGUAGUGUCCCACAAACAGCAGAGGCAUCACAUGAUCCAUGAUCCUCUGCUUCUGGUUCUUCUGUGCGCAGCCCACCAUCUCUGCAUUAGAAAGUUCAAAACACAUGAACCCUUUCUAAAGCUUCUCCACAUCUUCCUGACUAUGAUCAUGAUGUGCUUCACUGGAAUUGUUCUCAUCAGCAGAGGACCUGGAUGAAAACAUAGCUGGAAUAAAUGGGUCUAUGGCCAGGCUCCACUCCUGUGAGCAACCCUAUGAAGACCGUGUCACUGUGGCGUUUACCUCCUCAGCCAGAGCUGAUAGACACAGCCAUGUACCAGGGCCUAGCAAACCAGUACAAAAUUGCAGAUGUGGAGAAGGCACAGUACCAGUGUGUAGACAGACAUCAAUACCGUGUCUAGAGAGGGUAGGCAUGCCUAAGUAUCCUGCUCUUCAGGUAUCCAACAAAGAUUCUCAGGAGAGGUUUGAGUUUGUUGAACCUGGAUGUCGUCCUGUUGUGCUUUAUUGGAGAAAGCACAGGAGCAAGACAGAUCUGCCUUUGCAUCCAGCUAAGCGUAGCCCAAGCCCACUGCCCAGGCUGGAGACCUUUCUGCUGAUCUUGUUGUGCCAUCAAGUCAUGAUGAGCCAGGGUCAGGAUUACCACCAUUGAUGUGCCCUUGCUGUCCUCAUAUCAUUGUGCUGAUGUAGAGCUGCAGUCAAAACCAGGUUGUUGAUGAAAGUGCUAUUAUUCUUGUUGAAUCCAUUGACGUGCUGCCUGUGCCAUCGGUGUCAUUGCCUUAAAGUGCCUGCAUAAAGCCUCAGACAGAGAUAGAAACCACACAUAUUCCCCUGCUGCCCGUAGUGGCCUCACCUGCAAAGGCCCGUACCGGACUAGUGAAGACUGGUGG